rnacentral:rRNA from 1 species
UACAGAGGGGGCGAGCGUUGUUCGGAAUUACUGGGCGUAAAGCGUGCGCAGGCGGUUUUGUAAGUCUGACGUGAAAUCCCCGGGCUCAACCUGGGAAUUGCGUUGGAGACUGCAAGGCUGGAGUCUGGCAGAGGGGGGUAGAAUUCCACGUGUAGCAGUGAAAUGCGUAGAGAUGUGGAGGAACACCGAUGGCGAAGGCAGCCCCCUGGGUCAAGACUGACGCUCAUGCACGAAAGCGUGGGGAGCAAACAGG